rnacentral:sRNA from 1 species
GCUGGGCAUGGUGGUGCAUGCCUGUAAUCCCAACAGAUCAGGAGGCUGAGACAGGAGGAUCAGGAUUGUGAGUUCAAAGCCAGCCUCAGCAAAAGCCAGGCUCUAAGCAACUCAGUGAGACCCUGACUCUA